rnacentral:piRNA from 1 species
AGAGCUUUUAGAUGUGUUG